GGUGGCAUGACUCAGGAGGUAGAGCGGUUUGUCUAGGAAUCAGAGGGUUCCUGGUUCGAUCCCCGGCUCCUCCA